rnacentral:rRNA from 1 species
UACGUAGGGGGCAAGCGUUGUCCGGAUUUAUUGGGCGUAAAGAGCGUGUAGGCGGCUUGGCAAGUCCGCUGUGAAAACUCGAGGCUCAACCUCGAGAGGUCGGUGGAAACUGCCUGGCUAGAGUCCGGAAGAGGAGAGUGGAAUUCCUGGUGUAGCGGUGAAAUGCGCAGAUAUCAGGAAGAACACCCGUGGCUAAGGCGGCUCUCUAGUACGGUACUGACGCUGAGACGCGAAAGCGUGGGGAGCGAACAGG